rnacentral:rRNA from 1 species
GUAGUCUGCAACUCGACUACAUGAAGCUGGAAUCGCUAGUAAUCGCGAAUCAGAAUGUCGCGGUGAAUACGUUCCCGGGUCUUGUACANACCGCCCGUCACACCAUGGGAGUUGGGAAUGCCCGAAGCCGGUGACCCAACCGAAAGGAGGGAGCCGUCGAAGGUGGGGCCGAUAACUGGGGUGAAGUCGUAACAAGGUAGC